AUGCACUGCUCGUAACCCAUUAUCAUUUUCCCCCGGUACUGGGUUCCAUUCCAGUGCUAAAUUAACCCAUCUUGAACAAAUAGUUUAUUGCUGUUUGCUGUAAACUUCCGUUCUAGUUUGGGACAGCC
ensembl:snoRNA